rnacentral:lncRNA from 10 species
GAGACAGAGUCUCACUCUGUCACCAAGGCUGGAGUGCAGUGGUGUGAUCUCAGCUCGCUGAAACCUCCACCUCCUGGGCUCAAGUGAUUCUCCUGCCUCAGCCUCCCAAGUAGCUGGGAUUACAGGCAUGAGCCACCACGCCUGGCCCCAAACUGACUCUUGACCAAAGAAUCUGAUUUGGCAAACCAAAUCUUAGUGCAGUGUUCGCUCCUCGUCCCCUUACCCAGAACAUGAUUCAGAUCCUAACAUAAACACAAAAACAGGUCAGGGAACCAAAACACUGUGGUCUUGUCUAUUAUACAAAAUAUUGAGAUAAUGUUCACGAUUCAUUCUGUUUUCAGCAAUUGUGACAAUUUUGAAGCUUCUCUCGAAGCUUCGAAACACUUCAUUUCCUACUAAAUACCAAAACGUGUCAGACAGGCAUCACCAGUG